UACGUAGGGUGCGAGCGUUGUCCGGAAUUAUUGGGCGUAAAGAGCUUGUAGGCGGCCUGGUAGGUCUGCUGUGAAAACUCGAGGCUCAACCUCGAGAUGUCGGCGGAAACCAUCUGGCUAGAGUCCGGAAGAGGAGAGUGGAAUUCCUGGUGUAGCGGUGAAAUGCGCAGAUAUCAGGAAGAACACCUAUGGCGAAGGCAGCUCUCUGGGACGGUACUGACGCUGAGACGCGAAAGCGUGGGGAGCGAACAGG
rnacentral:rRNA from 1 species